rnacentral:rRNA from 1 species
GACGAACGCUGGCGGCGUGCUUAACACAUGCAAGUCGAACGAAGUGGCGAACGGGUGAGUAAUACGUGGGUAACCUGCCCUCCUUUUUGGGAUAAGCCUUGGAAACGGGGUCUAAUACCGACUAACGGGGGUUGGGCUCGUGGCCUAUCAGCUUGUUGGGGGGGUGAUUGCCUACCAAGGCGGUGACGGGUAGGCGGGCUGAGAGGGUGACCGGCCACAUUGGGACGGAGGAUCCUCCCAGACUCGUAAGGGGGGCAGCAGUGGGGGAUAUUGCCCAAUGGGCGAAAGCCUGAUGCCGCGACGCCGCGUGGGGGAUGAAGGCUUUCGGGUUGUAAACCUCUUUCGCUAUGGAACGGGUAGGUGGAGAAGAAGCGCCGGCUAACUACGUGCCAGCAGCCGCGGUAAUAC